UGAGGUUUGGGUUUAAAUAGAGGGC
rnacentral:piRNA from 1 species